rnacentral:lncRNA from 1 species
UUAAGUUGGGGCAAAUGGCUAUAGUGCAGAGUAAUGCCAUCACUGGGCACUGCGAAUGCCAUGACUGAAGAAUUAACAGCCACCCCUCAGGCGCAGGACCAGCUGCUUGCCUGCAAAGAUGAGCCUCUGCUGGUCGGGGGGGAUGCCUUCUUUAUCUUGGAUCUUGGCCUUCACAUUUUCGAUGGUGUCACUGGGCUCCACCUCCAGAGUGAUGGUCUUGCCGGUCAGGGUCUUCACGAAGAUCUGCAUACCACCUCUCAGACGCAGGACCAGGUGCAGGGUCGACUCCUUCUGGAUGUUGUAGUCAGAAAGAGUGCGGCCAUCUUCCAGCUGCUUGCCUGCAAAGAUGAGCCUCUGCUGGUCGGGAGGGAUGCCUUCUUUAUCCUGGAUCUUGGCCUUCACAUUUUCGAUGGUGUCACUGGGCUCCACUUCCAGGGUGAUGGUCUUGCCGGUCAGGGUCU